GGAAGUAAAAGUUGUAACAAGGUUUCCGUAGGUGAACCUGCGGAAGGAUCAUUAAAGAGAUCAUGCCCUCACGGGUAGACCUCCCACCCUUUGUUUACAAUACCUUUGUUGCUUUGGCGGGCCCGUUUGGCCCCGCGCUGAACAACCGGCCCCGGCUGGUCAGUGCCCGCCAGAGAACCGAAAACUCUGAAUUAAAUGUCGUCUGAGUACUAUGUAAUAGUUAAAACUUUCAACAACGGAUCUCUUGGUUCUG
rnacentral:misc_RNA from 1 species